rnacentral:rRNA from 1 species
UUAUUGGGCGUAAAGCGAGCGCAGGCGGUUUUUUAAGUCUGAUGUGAAAGCCCUCGGCUUAACCGAGGAAGCGCAUCGGAAACUGGGAAACUUGAGUGCAGAAGAGGACAGUGGAACUCCAUGUGUAGCGGUGAAAUGCGUAGAUAUAUGGAAGAACACCAGUGGCGAAGGCGGCUGUCUGGUCUGUAACUGACGCUGAGGCUCGAAAGCAUGGGUAGCGAACAGGAUUAGAUACCCUGGUAGUCCAUGCCGUAAACGAUGAAUGCUAGGUGUUGGAGGGUUUCCGCCCUUCAGUGCCGCAGCUAACGCAUUAAGCAUUCCGCCUGGGGAGUACGACCGCAAGGUUGAAACUCAAAGGAAUUGACGGGGGCCCGCACAAGCGGUGGAGCAUGUGGUUUAAUUCGAAGCAACGCGAAGAACCUUACCAGGUCUUGACAUCUUUUGAUCACCUGAGAGAUCAGGUUUCCCCUUCGGGGGCAAAAUGACAGGUGGUGCAUGGUUGUCGUCAGCUCGUGUCGUGAGAUGUUGGGUUAAGUCCCGCAACGAGCGCAACCCUUAUGACUAGUUGCCAGCAUUUAGUUGGGCACUCUAGUAAGACUGCCGGUGACAAACCGGAGGAAGGUGGGGAUGACGUCAAAUCAUCAUGCCCCUUAUGACCUGGGCUACACACGUGCUACAAUGGAUGGUACAACGAGUUGCGAGACCGCNAGGUCAAGCUAAUCUCUUAA